rnacentral:rRNA from 1 species
CCUACGGGCGGCAGCAGUGGGGAAUAUUAGUCAAUGGACGAGAGUCUGAAGCAGCCAAGUAGCGUGAAGGAUGACUGCUCUCUGGUUUGUAAACUUCUUUUAUAAAGGAAUAAAACGAGGCUCGUGUGCCUUUUUGCAUGUACUUUAUGUAUAAGGAUCGGCUAACUCCGUGCCAGCAGCCGCGGUAAGACGGAGGAUCCGAGCGUUAUCCGGAUUUAUUGGGUUUAAAGGGAGCGUAGAUGGGUUGGUAAGUCAGGUGUGAAAGUUUGCGGCUCAACCGUAAAAUUGCAAUUGAUACUGGCAGUCUUGAGUACAGUUGAGGUAGGCGGAAUUCGUGGUGUAGCGGUGAAAUGCUUAGAUAUCACGAAGAACACCGGUGGCGAAGGCAGCUUACUAGACUGUGACUGACAUUGAUGCUCGAAAGUGUGGGUAGCAAACAGGAUUAGAUACCCCAGUAGUC